rnacentral:ncRNA from 1 species
GUCAACUACCCCUCCCUGCCCGCUGAUGCGGUCGAGGAAGGGGCUUGUCUAAAGAUAGCCCUUGUUGACCAGAUCAUCAAUUGGAGUAAACAAAAUUGGUAAACGAUAUGCAAGAAUCAUAUAGUUACCUUCGAAUGUCGCCUCAGUUUGAAGCUCUAAGGAUACAAGUUAAAAGUCCUAAAGGGUUGUGGACAGCGCUUAUAUCAAAAACCUUGCAAUAUCUGAUCGAGAGGAAGACGGAUUCCUGAAAUUAUUCUAUACUUCAGGAUACGCAUUACCCUACGAAAGUAGG